GCGAGAGUGCUGGAACUGGUAGACAGGCACGUUUGAGGGGCGUGUGUCUUUGGCGUGUGGGUUCAAGUCCCAUCUCUCGCACCA
rnacentral:tRNA from 1 species